rnacentral:misc_RNA from 1 species
GAUGAAGAACGUAGCGAAAUGCGAUAAGUAAUGUGAAUUGCAGAAUUCAGUGAAUCAUCGAAUCUUUGAACGCACAUUGCGCCCCUUGGUAUUCCGGGGGGCAUGCCUGUUCGAGCGUCAUUUCAACCCUCAAGCUCUGCUUGGUAUUGGGCUCCGUCCUCCUCGGACGCGCCCCAAAGACCUCGGCGGUGGCGUCUUGCCUCAAGCGUAGUAGAAACACCUCGCUUUGGAGUGCAUGGCGUCGCCCGCCGGACGAAACCUUUUGUAUUUUCUCAAGGUUGACCUCGGAUCAGGUAGGGAUACCCGCUGAACUUAAGCAUAUCAAUAAGCGGAGGA